GGGCGCAGAGCUCAGUGGUAGAGCGUGUGCUUGGUAUGCACGAGGUCCUGGGUUCAAUUCCCAGUGCCUCAA
rnacentral:tRNA from 1 species